AGGAGAGUUUGAUCCUGGCUCAGGAUUAGAUACCCUGGUAGUCCAGAAUUCGGCUUAGAGUUUGAUCCUGGCUCAGGAUGAACGCUGGCGGCGUGCUUAACACAUGCAAGUCGAACGGAGAUUACAUUUUAGCUUGCUAGUUUGUAAUCUUAGUGGCGGACGGGUGAGUAACGCGUGGGUAACCUGCCUUAUCCAGGGGGAUAACAGUGAGAAAUUACUGCUAAUACCGCAUAAGCGCACAGUGUCGCAUGACACAGUGUGAAAAGAUUUAUCGGGAUAAGAUGGACCCGCGUCUGAUUAGCUAGUUGGUGAGGUAACGGCCCACCAAGGCGACGAUCAGUAGCCGGCCUGAGAGGGUGAACGGCCACAUUGGGACUGAGACACGGCCCAAACUCCUACGGGAGGCAGCAGUGGGGAAUAUUGCACAAUGGGGGAAACCCUGAUGCAGCGACGCCGCGUGAGUGAAGAAGUAUUUCGGUAUGUAAAGCUCUAUCAGCAGGGAAGAAAAUGACGGUACCUGACUAAGAAGCCCCGGCUAACUACGUGCCAGCAGCCGCGGUAAUACGUAGGGGGCAAGCGUUAUCCGGAUUUACUGGGUGUAAAGGGAGCGUAGACGGCAUGGCAAGUCUGAAGUGAAAUGCGGGGGCUCAACCCCUGAACUGCUUUGGAAACUGUUAAGCUAGAGUGUCGGAGAGGUAAGUGGAAUUCCUAGUGUAGCGGUGAAAUGCGUAGAUAUUAGGAGGAACACCGGUGGCGAAGGCGGCUUACUGGACGAUGACUGACGUUGAGGCUCGAAAGCGUGGGGAGCAAACAGGAUUAGAUACCCUGGUAGUCCCCU
rnacentral:rRNA from 1 species